GCAGCAGUAAGGAAUAUUGGUCAAUGGAGGAAACUCUGAACCAGCCAUGCCGCGUGGAGGAUGAAGGUCCUCUGGAUUGUAAACUUCUUUUAUAUGGGACGAAAAAACGGUUUUCUAACCGGACUGACGGUACCAUACGAAUAAGCACCGGCUAACUCCGUGCCAGCAGCCGCGGUAAUACGGAGGGUGCAAGCGUUAUCCGGAUUCACUGGGUUUAAAGGGAGCGCAGGUGGGCUAGUAAGUCAGUGGUGAAAUCUCCGGGCUAACCCGGAAAUUGCCRUUGAUACUAUUAGUCUUGAAUAUUGUGGAGGUUAGCGGAAUAUGUCAUGUAGCGGUGAAAUGCUUAGAUAUGACAUGGAACACCAAUUGCGAAGGCAGCUGGCUACACAAAUAUUGACACUGAGGCUCGAAAGCGUGGGGAUCAAACAGGAUUAGAUACCCUGGUAGUCCACGCCCUAAACUAUGRAUACUCGACAUACGCGAUACACUGUGUGUGUCUGAGCGAAAGCAUUAAGUAUCCCA
rnacentral:rRNA from 1 species